rnacentral:rRNA from 1 species
UGGGGAAUUUUGGACAAUGGGCGCAAGCCUGAUCCAGCCAUGCCGCGUGAGUGAAGAAGGCCUCGGGUUGUAAAGCUCUUUCGGCCGGGAAGAAAUCGUGUUCUCUAACAUAGGACAUGGAUGACGGUACCGGACUAAGAAGCACCGGCUAACUACGUGCC